CAAAAUUUCACAGAAAAAUCUUUUUCUUUGUUCUUUUCUCCAUCAUGAAAUUUGGUUUGGGUUCAUUUAAAGAAGAGCUCAUUUCUCCCCCCUCUUUGGUCCCAGACCUGACACAUUUGUCACACUUUGGUUCCCCGAGUGAAAGGAAUCCAGGCAAGACCCCUCUUUACAGAGGAUGGCUUCCUCUCGCAGCUAGGGUUGCCAACUCUGACUGAAGCUAUUCCGGGAAUUUUUCCCCCCCUUAAAAUAUCCCAUUAAAAUCUCCUGGAUUGCUUUCAGUAGUCACCGGGAGAUCGAUGCCGAUUCUGGUAGACUCCCGGCCAGUCUGGGAGGGUUGGCAGCCCUAGUCACAGCUGUACAUUUCUUUGCAGGAGUCAGCUGGCAUAUCAGGAUUUUGUAACAACUAAAAAGAGACAAUGUGGGAAGUAGGAAGAGGGAAAGGAGGAGAAAAGAACAGAGACUUUUGUGGUGAUACCUUACCCUGUGUUUGAUUCAUCUAAUGAACAAUGCAGACCAGCAUCGAUUCUCAACUGCCUUUCAAAUAAUCUGGUGUUACUCCAGACGUACAAUAGUGAAACUCAAAGCAGGAAUAGGUGGAGUUGGUCCUGAAGUCAAUCCUUAUUUCACGACAGCUUGCACAUUAAUUAAGAAGAACAAAUAUCUGUGUGAAAAGAGAAUCUGUGAAGAGUAUGACAUUUAGGACCGAUCUUCAUUACCAUGUUCUAUACUGUAUUAGUCCAAAAAUCUCUUUUGUGAUUUUGGUGCAAUAACUAAUGUGAGAGAAAAAUUUGCUCCCAAUGAGAUUGUUCCCAAUGAGACUUGUUACAUAGCAAAAUUAAAUAUGAGAAUAAGCACCUUUUUCAGACAAAAACAAACUGAGGAAACCUCAUGGCUUCCGAUUUUAAGUCUAGAAUGAUCAAUUAUUGAUCUGUAAAGACCUGGGAUAGAUUGGCCUGCAAUAAAGUGUUUGUCAUGUU
rnacentral:lncRNA from 1 species